UUGGGCGUUAAGUUGCAGGGUAUAGACCCGAAACCCGGUGAUCUAGCCAUGGGCAGGUUGAAGGUUGGGUAACACUAACUGGAGGACCGAACCGACUAAUGUUGAAAAAUUAGCGGAUGACCUGUGGCUGGGGGUGAAAGGCCAAUCAAACCGGGAGAUAGCUGGUUCUCCCCGAAAGCUAUUUAGGUAGCGCCUCGUGAAUUCAUCUCCGGGGGUAGAGCACUGUUUCGGCUAGGGGGCCAUCCCGGCUUACCAACCCGAUGCAAACUGCGAAUACCGGAGAAUGUUAUCACGGGAGACACACGGCGGGUGCUAACGUCCGUCGUGAAGAGGGAAACAACCCAGACCGCCAGCUAAGGUCCCAAAGUCAUGGUUAAGUGGGAAACGAUGUGGGAAGGCCCAGACAGCCAGGAUGUUGGCUUAGAAGCAGCCAUCAUUUAAAGAAAGCGUAAUAGCUCACUGGUCGAGUCGGCCUGCGCGGAAGAUGUAACGGGGCUAAACCAUGCACCGAAGCUGCGGCAGCGAACGUAUCACUUAAAGCGAUUCAGCGGGUUACGAUUGACGGAGCGAAGCGACGUCAAAGCGUAUACAAAGUCGAGUCGGUUUAAGGAUACGUUCGUUGGGUAGGGGAGCGUUCUGUAAGCCUGUGAAGGUGGCCUGUGAGGG
rnacentral:rRNA from 1 species